AGAGUUUGAUCCUGGCUCAGGAUGAACGCUGGCGGCGUGCCUAAUACAUGCAAGUCGAACGCACAGCGAAAGGUGCUUGCACCUUUCAAGUGAGUGGCGAACGGGUGAGUAACACGUGGAUAACCUACCUCAAGGUUGGGGAUAACAUUUGGAAACAGAUGCUAAUACCGAAUAAAACUUCGUAUCGCAUGAUACAAGGUUAAAAGGCGCUACGGCGUCACCUAGAGAUGGAUCCGCGGUGCAUUAGUUAGUUGGUGGGGUAAAGGCCUACCAAGACAAUGAUGCACAGCCGAGUUGAGAGACUGAUCGGCCACAUUGGGACUGAGACACGGCCCAAACUCCUACGGGAGGCUGCAGUAGGGAAUCUUCCACAAUGGGCGAAAGCCUGAUGGAGCAACGCCGCGUGUGUGAUGAAGGCUUUCGGGUCGUAAAGCACUGUUGUAUGGGAAGAACAGCUAGAGUAGGGAAUGACUUUAGUUUGACGGUACCAUACCAGAAAGGGACGGCUAAAUACGUGCCAGCAGCCGCGGUAAUACGUAUGUCCCGAGCGUUAUCCGGAUUUAUUGGGCGUAAAGCGAGCGCAGACGGUUGAUUAUGUCUGAUGUGAAAGCCCGGAGCUCAACUCCGGAAAGGCAUUGGAAACUGGUCAACUUGAGUGCAGUAGAGGUAAGUGGAACUCCAUGUGUAGCGGUGGAAUGCGUAGAUAUAUGGAAGAACACCAGCGGCGAAGGCGGCUUACUGGACUGUAACUGACGUUGAGGCUCGAAAGUGUGGGUAGCAAACAGGAUUAGAUACCCUGGUAGUCCACACCGUAAACGAUGA
rnacentral:rRNA from 1 species